CCUAAAUCAACGUACUGACAACGCUACCUCCCCGGAACUCAAACUUUAAACGGGCAUGACUUGGUACAUCCAGUGACCCAGCAAAAAGUAGCCUCGGUACAGCCAGAAGUAGCAACAAAUCGCAAAAGGGGAUCCUUGUCUGACUGGUGGCUGGACCACAUGACACUUGUUGGAAAAGGAAGGACCAAAGGUGCCAUCGUCGAGGGCCAAGAUAGAUGAAGAGAUUGAAGCCUGGGCUGCACACAAUCCUGUUAGUAACAAAAAAAGAAGGAAAAAAUGCUGUCCCAUUUGUCCAUAUGCCCAGCGCCAGAACCCAUUUAUACAUCUGGGUAGUGAGGCAAGUGUCUAAGAGACCUGCCUGAGUCUCUCACCGACUGUAGGAUUCGAACCAGGGACCUCUUGACCUCUAGUUGAGAAUCUGAGCCACUAGUCCAUAGUGUGUCGUGUAGAUUCACGCUGGUCUUGCUCUUCGAUCUUGUCACGUCACAUCCUUGUCCCUUGCUCUGCCACAAUCAUGUACUGUAUUGAAUUGAAUUCUAUUUUCUGUCUUCAGAAAAUCUAGGAAGAAGUCGCCACCCACUAAUGAUCUCAUCCAAGUUUACCAAAGACUCCAAAGCAGUGUAGGAGAGGAAUGGUGGCCUGUUCGAACAGGCAUGGACUGAAUCGCCAGCUCUCAUCUCCCUAGUCACUCCGAUGGCCACGUGUCGCUCCUCGAUCAACAGCGAUUUCAAUGAAUGAUGCGUUGAUGUGGGCAAAAAGUGAAUCCUUUCUCGCCUUUGAACUCUGGUGUUCGUCGUAUCAAUCAAUUUUGAUUGUCGAGCAACUUGUGGGCACACCUCAACUUGUUAGUGGGAAGUAAUUUGCAAUAGAGUGACUUACUUUUAUUGCUAUAUUUUAUUGUAUUUUUUCACUUCACAUCAUUGUUAUUUUGAAAAAUCCUGCCAAAAUUCUGUUGACUGUUUGUUGUCGACAAGAGUCUAUGUUUCAUGAAUAACAAGGCUGUGUUCUGUACAUUGUA